AUUGAACGCUGGCGGCAUGCCUUACACAUACAAGCCGAACGGUAACAGGUCUUCGGAUGCUGACGAGUGGCGAACGGGUGAGUAAUACAUCGGAACGUGCCCGAGAGUGGGGGAUAACGAGGCGAAAGCUUUGCUAAUACCGAAUACGAUCUCAGGAUGAAAGCAGGGGACCGCAAGGCCUUGCGCUCACGGAGCGGCCGAUGGCAGAUUAGGUAGUUGGUGGGAUAAAAGCUUACCAAGCCGACGAUCUGUAGCUGGUCUGAGAGGACGACCAGCCACACUGGGACUGAGACACGGCCCAGACUCCUACGGGAGGCAGCAGUGGGGAAUUUUGGACAAUGGGCGCAAGCCUGAUCCAGCCAUGCCGCGUGCAGGAUGAAGGCCUUCGGGUUGUAAACUGCUUUUGUACGGAACGAGAAGACUCUGGUUAAUACCUGGGGUCCAUGACGGUACCGUAAGAAUAAGCACCGGCUAACUACGUGCCAGCCGCCGCCGUAAAAC
rnacentral:rRNA from 1 species